CAUGAGUAACUGAGACCAUGGGUAAAGCGACACCAUGUAGCAGAGGGAGCUUCUGUAUAUUACGCAAUAUUUAAGAAUAUAUGAAUAGCCCAGUGUUACCCAUGAGGAUUCUCUGGACCCAAAGACAAAAGGCAAGUAGUUGAAGGAAGACCGAACCCUGCUCUCUGGGGUUCCAAGCUUCUUACUCAGAUGCCUCGCACUGAGAAAGAGAACGAGGAGCGCCACGUCAGACUGGGGGUCAGGAAACGGAGCCAGCAGACUGAAGCAGACCCUCGCUGGACCCAUCUCAGACACGCCUGCCUGGCAGUCGGGAUUCACCCAGGUGGGUCUUCACACGGCAUGCCCCCUGUGAUACCACCGUGUCCCACUGUGAAGUAAUGCAUUAGGAGUGUCAGAAAUCAUAAAAGAAAAGGAAACUGAAGAUAACUCAAGUAACUGAAGUUCAUAGGGCAAGUUGGUAACAGGAAGCUCACAUUCUUCUGUCUUUACUUGAUCACCUGUGCUAAUUAAAAAGGCUCUCUGCUGCUUCCUCA